rnacentral:rRNA from 1 species
UACGGAGGAUGCGAGCGUUAUCCGGAUUUAUUGGGUUAAAGGGUGCGUAGGCGGGUUAUCAAGUCAGCGGUAAAAUCGUGGAGCUCAACUCCAUCCAGCCGUUGAAACUGAUGAUCUUGAGUGGGCGAGAAGUAUGCGGAAUGCGUGGUGUAGCGGUGAAAUGCAUAGAUAUCACGCAGAACUCGAUGCGAAGGCAGCAUACCGGCGCCCGACUGACGCUGAAGCACGAAAGCGUGGGUAUCGAACAGG